AAUGUCAGUUUUGUGUCAGGCUGGCCAGAGCUGGUUCUGUAGGAUACAGAUUUCACUCUAAGAUAGCACUAUGAAUGCUUCACCUUCAUUCCUUCACCUGCAGUAUGAAGGCAAUUACUAUGUCUGGAGCAAACACAGGCUGCCAAAAAUGACAGCUGAUAAAAACUACCCCUGUUAGAGAAAACCACUUUGCAAAUUCUGCUCUUUGGAGUAUUAAAACCUGUCACUCUUCAGGGACCACUGCUGCACAGCAACUUUAAACUACCUGACAAAGAAUCUUUGACAAGCACAGUGUUUGGGAAUGGCUUGAAGAACGACACCUUGUGUGACGCAGCUGAAUAUUUCUGGGUGUGAUUAUGGGAAUUGGGUCUUAAUUUUGAUGUGAGCAUCAAAAAUAACAGUCACUGCCAAAAAUAGCAGUUUUCCUACCUGGCUUCUCGUGUUAUGUGCAGGUGAUUACCUUUACUAUACCAAUAAAUCAUUUGUCACCAAAGAAAUUGUGACUUAACAAUAAAGGAUUACUUGACACCUCUGA